AUACGGAGGGGGCUAGCGUUGUUCGGAAUUACUGGGCGUAAAGCGCGCGUAGGCGGACCAGUCAGUCAGGGGUGAAAUCCCGGGGCUCAACCCCGGAACUGCCUUUGAUACUGCUGGUCUUGAGUUCGAGAGAGGUGAGUGGAAUUCCGAGUGUAGAGGUGAAAUUCGUAGAUAUUCGGAGGAACACCAGUGGCGAAGGCGGCUCACUGGCUCGAUACUGACGCUGAGGUGCGAAAGCGUGGGGAGCAAACAGGAGUAGAUACCCUAGUAGUCC
rnacentral:rRNA from 1 species